CAUUGCUGUGGCUGUGGCUGUGGCCGGCAGCUGUAGCUCUGAUUCGACCCCUAGGCUGGGAACCUCCAUAUGCUGCGGGUGCAGCCCUAAAAAGCCAAAAGAAAAAAAGAAGAAUCCCAGCUCCAACAACAGGGAACUGCAUUCAAUAGCCUGUGAUAAACCAUCAUGGAAAAGCCUAGCCCACCUGUGGAAUAUUCUCUCUAAAUUAACUUGCUUUCACUUAAACAAAAAAAAAAUGGCAAAGAUUAUGUAUGUGCAGAAAUGAGUCACUGUUCUAUACAGCAGAAAUUAGCAUUGUAAAUCAACUAUACUUCAAUUAAAAAAAUUUUUUUGGGCUGCCCCGCAGCUUACGGAGUUCCCGAGUCAGGGAUCAAGAUUAGAGCCACAGUUGCAGCCUAAGCUGAAGCGGUGGCAACGCUGGCUCCUUAACCUACUGUGCUGGGCUGGGGAUCGAACCCGUGUCCCAGCAUUCCCAAGACACUACCCAUCCCUUUGCGCCACAGCGGGAACUCUCGAUAAAAUUUUUUUAAAUAAAAAAAUGUAGCUGCUAUAAAAAAAAAAAUCCCAACUCCAAAAGUAAACGUGACGGCAACCGCUUGUCUCUUCUUCAUCAGGAGAAGGAUACGCUGCGUCUGCCAAACGGAGAGACUCCGGGCCGGGCAGCUGGGGCCACGACCCGGCCAAGCCAGGGUCCCAAAGGCCACAGGCACAGCUUCCACCUUCCAGAGGGUUCAAGGGCAACUGACUGGCCGGGGACGUGAAGCCAUGGAAGGAAAGCAGAGGGCCGCUGUCUCCGCCCGGGGGCCUCGGACGCUGGGGAUGCUGCUGACCUGGAGACCUCGGGGUCUUGCUUGAGGAGCCGCAGGAGGCUCUCAGUGUUGAUGAAGAUGGCCCAGCACGGGAGGCAGCAGAGCAGCAGGAUGAGGACGCCUCGCUGCAGUAUGACCCCCACUCGCUUCAGGUUCCUGCCGCCAAAGGACUGGGGAAAAUCAACCCGGUGAUGGAGAAGGCGCCGCACACAGGCCCCCGCUGCGCACGCGCGCGCGCACGGCCCCCGCAGGCCUGCGGGCGCUGCCUGCCCUCUCUCCCGCCCUGGCACCCGAGCUGGGCGCCCUGGGAACCGGGCAGCAGAGCCCCCAGCUUGAAAGGGGUGAGAGGAAGGGGGCACGUGUGAGAAGCUCCCAGACUCCUUCGACCAAGGCGUCUGGAACACCUGCUGCGUGCCAGUCAUGCGUGCGGCUGCCAACUAAGCCGGCAGGGAACUAGGCAGCCAAAAAAGAAUCUGCUUCCACACCCACUCAAAGAGACAAUGGAGGAGGAAUUCCCAUCCUGGCACAGCAGAAAUGAACCCCACUAGUAUCCAUGAGGAUGUGGGGUUCCAUCCCUGGCCUCGCUCAGGGCGUUAAGGAUCCAGUGUUGCCAUGAGCCGUGGUGUGGGUCUCAGACGCGGCUUGGAUCCUGUGUUGCUGUGGCUGUGGUGGAGGCAGGCGGCAGUAGCUCUCAUUCGAUGCCUAGCUUGGGAACUUCCAUACGCUGCAGGUGCAGCCCUAAAAAAGACGAAAAAAACUGAGAGACAGAGACAUAGACAGAGACAGUGGAGGAGAUCCCUGGUGGCUCAGCAGGUUCCAGCAUUUUCACGGCUGUGGCUCUGGCUACUGCUGUGGCGUGGGUUCGAUGCCUGGCCCAGGAGCAGCUUCAUGCUGUGGGCAUAACCAAAAAAAAGAGCUACAAUGGAAAUAAAUAUUCCACCACAGACGAAUGGACAGGGCGGUGACAUCAUACAGAACAUUAUGCAAAUAUUAAAAGGGGGAAUGUGCACCAACUUAUGGAAACAAAACAUUCUCCAAACACAUGGUUUAACAGGAGGAAAAGAUAAAACCGUAUGUAAAGUUUA